GAGCCACCCAAUUCGUGUACCAGGGAUAUUCCACUUCGUUAAUUCAGGUGAAGAUUUUUGCUAUACGCGAAUAGCCUGGCCUCCGCUCCGCGGCUCGAUCCGCCUCGCCGUCGUCUCCCCUCCACGUCGCCGCCCCUCCGUAACUUGUCCACGGCACCCGCCCUCCGACCGCCGUGGCUCUACUUGUACAGGAUUCCCUCAGCCCUCCCUCCUCCGCUCCGUCUGAUGCCUGUCCACCGCGCGCGUCACCGCCUGGUCGCCUCCUGCACGGCGACCUCCUAUGUUAGCCGCCGGACGCCCGCCCUCCAUAGCUCCCUCGCUCCGUGGCCACCCCAACGCCGCCCUCCCCGUGAGACCGUGACCGACAGAUUGGGAGGGAGUCCAUUGACAAGAGCCUCUCAGGUGUUGGUUGCAGCUAUGAGGUUCCGAGAGUGACUGAAGUGACGACUAUGGGGUUCAUUCAAUAGACCACUUAAUUCAGUGAAAAAUAAUGAGUUCAACAAUGGAGCUAAAGAAUACGUGCAGCAGGGGUGGACAUUCGGUCAGAUCGAAGAAUUUGAUCUCCGUCUUCAACUAAAUUUUGGUCAUUACAUGACUGAAUGAUUGGCAACAGUUUCAUAGAUGCAAAUAAAUGAUAGAAACUAUUAAUAAUUUCAUAGUACAAAAAUUACUAACAAAAAUCACCAGUGCAAUGAUGAAGACUCUUGCUAGAUUGCAUGUCCUAUCGAAAGUAGGGAUCUAAAGGGUUUUUAGACGUACUGGGUUGGAGGUUGUUCUUGGAUGGUUUUGUUAAUUUUGGUCUUUUCUGUUAACCGAGGGGGACCAAUCCAAUUAAUCACCAAACAAAAUUCGGUCUUUCACAAUGUGGGACAGAAUGAUGGCCGAAUUUCUCGGGGUCAAUUCCUUUUUUUUUUUGGUUGGGUCGUUUUCUGUCCACCGUGCAGAUUAGUAGCAGCGAUUAUGUAAUUAUGUGAUGAGGUGAAGAUUGAAGGAGACGUGAUGUUGUGCUGCUCACCUAACGUGGUGGCCGGAGUAACAUCCGGCGCCGGCGCCGACGUCGGCGAGAGCCCGUC